CUGUAAUGAUGUAAAAUAUAAUUUGUUCUGAUUUUAAUUGAUGUUCUCAUAAAAUCGAGCUGUUAAGUCUGAAUAGA